CUCUCCCAAGAUGGCGGCCAGGUCGCCUGCUCGGGCCUCCCAGGCGACUUUGCCCCACUGCGCCCGCGCUCUCUUCUCCUUUCCAUUUCUGGACCAAGGGGCUGCCAUAAGGAGUCUGUGACUAGAGAUGGGAGGUGGUGGCCACGGCCUCUCGCUGUAUGCUGUGUGGAAGGUCGAAUCAUCAUCAUCAUAAAACUUAAUAUUGCCCUUAUGUGCCAGGAACUACUAUCUCAGCAAUGGAGAUGUGGUGCUUGGCCGCAAUCGUGAAUCGGCCCUGGAGGGGACACAGGAAGGGGCUGCCUGCGACUCAUGACCUCCUGCGUGCCUGCCUGCUGACCUAUGACCCUUCAAGUUCCCACCCCUCAGCCACGCCUGUGAGGAGGUAUGAAGAAGACCUGAGGUGUGAAGAAGAUCGAGAGGGUCUUGUUUUGUCGCCUACGCUGGAGUGCAGUGGUGUGAUCACAGCUCACUGCAGCCUCAACUUCCUGGACUCAAGCGAUUUUCCUGCCUCAACCUCCCAAGAACUAGGACCCCAGAUCCCCAUGGACAAGGCACUUGCAUGAAUUGUGAGGCUCAUGGAGUUGGGGUCGGACAACACAGAGCCGGCUCCCUCCAGGAGCUGCAUGUCCAGAGAGGGAAACAGGAUGUGGACAGCAAGAAUGAAUACAUGCAGACCAGUGCCCAUGGGCGGAGGGCAGAAGAGACCGUGCCUGAAGCCUCAUCCAUCCUGUGCUCAUCUG
rnacentral:lncRNA from 10 species